CGAUAUUCACCCUGGAUAAUACAGAAUUUAUAGAGUUGCCUUCAACGAAUGAAAAGUUACUUCAUGGAUGACGAACGUUACGAGUCUAAAGGUGAAGGAACGGAAUAUUACCCCGACUAUGAAAG